rnacentral:rRNA from 1 species
UGGGGAAUUUUACACAAUGGGGGAAACCCUGAUGCAGCGACGCCGCGUGAUUUAGAAGGCCUUCGGGUUGUAAAAAUCUUUUGUAUGGGAAGAAAAUGACAGUACCAUACGAAUAAGGACCGGCUAAUUACGUGCCAGCAGCCGCGGUAAUACGUAAGGUCCGAGCGUUGUCCGGAAUCAUUGGGCGUAAAGGGUACGUAGGCGGAUAAGCAAGUUAGAAGUGAAAUCCUAUAGCUCAACUAUAGUAAGCUUUUAAAACUGCUCAUCUUGAGGUAUGGAAGGGAAAGUGGAAUUCCUAGUGUAGCGGUGAAAUGCGCAGAUAUUAGGAGGAAUACCGGUGGCGAAGGCGACUUUCUGGCCAUAUACUGACGCUGAGGUACGAAAGCGUGGGUAGCAAACAGG